rnacentral:misc_RNA from 2 species
ACACCUCAACUCAUUGUGGUUUUCCAUGAUGAGCUUGGACUUUGGGGGGUUUUGCUGGCCUAUGGUCGGCUCCUCUAAAAUGAAUCAGCUUACCAGUGUUUGGUGGGUAUCAUGGGUGUGAUAACUAUCUACGCUUAUGGUUUUUUCCACCAGGUAACCUUCAGCAGUGGAGGUUCGCUGGAGCUCAUAGAUGUCUCUCCUUGGUGAGGACAGCCCUUUGAAU